GUGCUUACUUCAGCAGCACAGAUACUAAAAUUGGAAAAAUGCAGAGAUUAGCCUGUCCCCUGAACAAGGAUGACACAGAUUUGUGAAACAUUCAAUUUUUUU
ensembl:snRNA U6 U6 spliceosomal RNA